AGAGUUUGAUCCUGGCUCAGGACGAACGCUGGCGGCGUGCUUAACACAUGCAAGUCGAACGGGAUUUAGUAGACAGAAGCUUCGGUGGAAGAUUACUAAUGAGAGUGGCGAACGGGUGAGUAACGCGUGAGCAACCUGCCUAUGACAGUGGGAUAGCCUCGGGAAACCGGGAUUAAUACCGCAUAAAAUCGUAGAAACACAUGUUUUAACGGUCAAAGAUUUAUCGGUCAUAGAUGGGCUCGCGUCUGAUUAGCUAGUUGGUGAGAUAACAGCCCACCAAGGCGACGAUCAGUAGCCGGUCUGAGAGGAUGAACGGCCACAUUGGAACUGAGACACGGUCCAAACUCCUACGGGAGGCAGCAGUGGGGAAUAUUGCACAAUGGGGGAAACCCUGAUGCAGCGACGCCGCGUGAACGAAGAAGGUAUUCGUAUCGUAAAGUUCUGUCCUAUGGGAAGAUAAUGACAGUACCAUAGAAGAAAGCUCCGGCUAAAUACGUGCCAGCAGCCGCGGUAAUACGUAUGGAGCGAGCGUUGUCCGGAAUUAUUGGGCGUAAAGGGUACGCAGGCGGUUUAAUAAGUCGAAUGUUAAAGAUCGGGGCUCAACCCCGUAAAGCAUUGGAAACUGAUAAACUUGAGUAGUGGAGAGGAAAGUGGAAUUCCUAGUGUAGUGGUGAAAUACGUAGAUAUUAGGAGGAAUACCAGUAGCGAAGGCGACUUUCUGGACACAAACUGACGCUGAGGUACGAAAGCGUGGGGAGCAAACAGGAUUAGAUACCCUGGUAGUCCACGCCGUAAACG
rnacentral:rRNA from 1 species